UUGUGUGAUGUCAUAUUCCUGCGACGCUGCUCGUGCCUUAAAAGUUCACCAACCCAUUUCCUCAUUCUCUCUGCGUUUGUCGGUGGAAGAAAGCACACGUUGGUCCCGGAUAUCGUGUGGUUGAAACAUUAACUACGAUGGACUUCACAUCAGCUCUCUUAAUGACGUGUUCUGGACAUGUGAGGUGACCGCUAACCAUCCAGAGCGCUGACUGCUGCCGGUUUGCCAUCAUGGAUGAAUUACAGCUGAGGUUGAGAGUUCUCAAAUUCAUCUGACAAAGUCAUCAUCUCUAAGGAUGUGGCUGCAGCUUCAACAUCUGACUUGAGUGUUGCUCAGCAGCUUGGAGCCUGUCAUCAGAAGUCUGCCCUCUUCACCAGUUUUGAAUUGGGUGGUUGCAGCGACUCUGCCAACGUGUUUCCUGCAAGCUGCUUUUGGUGGUGUGUGAACAUAAACACUGGUAUGGAGAUGGAAGUUAUUUAAUAAAAAAAAACUGACAUUUUGCAAGAACAAGCAGAUCAACAUUUAUUAAAAAAAUGCCAAAACUCUUA